UACGUAGGGUGCAAGCGUUGUCCGGAAUUAUUGGGCGUAAAGAGCUCGUAGGCGGUCUGUCGCGUCUGCUGUGAAAACCUGGGGCUUAACCCCGGGCCUGCAGUGGGUACGGGCAGACUAGAGUGUGGUAGGGGAGACUGGAAUUCCUGGUGUAGCGGUGAAAUGCGCAGAUAUCGUAAGGAAGACCAGUGGCGAAGGCGGGUCUCUGGACAGUUCCUGACGCUGAGGCACGAAGGUCAGGGGGAGCAAACGGG
rnacentral:rRNA from 1 species